ACACAUCAUGUUCUAAACGAGAGGCACUGUGGCACUUGUUCUAAAUAAGAGCACCAAAUCUGCAAUCAGCCAGUCCCGGCUCUGCAGCUCAUGGCCUGUGCAACCUUGGAGAUUAAGAAAGAAUUACUCCAAAGUGCAAGAGCAAGAAACAACCUUGAACCUUCUCUACUCAAAUAGGAGCUAUGCUGCAGGUUUCCCAAGUCACCAGAACUACAUUGGAUCCCACUGUCUCAUGCCUGUGCUUCCUGCCAUAGAAAUGCUUCUGCAUCUUCUUGGCUAGCUCAGCAGGUCCAAGAGGGCAGGUAAACAGUCUGCCUGGCCCACAGUGCUCUUCCAACUCUGUGCCAUACCUGGCAUAUUGCUUGGCAUGAGUGUUUGCAGAGUGAAUGAUCGCUUGCUUCAUUUGCUCCUCUGAAAAUGUAUUGUCAAGUAUUUAGGAUAAACACAGGUGUGAAAAGAAAAAUACUAUAAACCCUCAAGGAGUGACUACAGGAUUAAAAAAAAGAAAAGAUAUUAACACAAGUUUAAGUUCUUGCUUUCUUCUCUCUGGUCACAUUCUGCUGUCUAGAAGCAGCCACGUAGUAGUGUAGUCAGCCCCAGCCCUGUCUUUGGUUUCAGUUACCUGUGGUCAACUAUGGUCUAAAAAUGUUAGUAUUUGU